AUAGCUCAUCAACACAUUGAUUCAAGGUUACAGUAAGGAAGCAUCCAUAAACAACAGAAUUCAUAGCAAUAAUUGAGCAGACACCUUAUGGGCACAUCUUUACAAUAUCCUAUUCACACAAGAAAGCUCAUUUUCUUCCACCACAAUUGAGUUUAAACUGCAGAAAAUGCAGCAGAAACAUCUCCACAAUGAAAGAUACCCACACAAAAAAGCUCUUGCACGGAUUCAAGCUACCAAAUAUUUUCUCAAAUUCAAACACUUAAACACAACUCAAAACUCCCUCUUGGACUAAAGACACAUACCAAAACUUACUUCUAUGAGCUCCUCAUUUUGCGUGCAUAGUUUUGGCUUAGCUCUUGAUAAGCUUUGGGUAAUUGAAUCACCCUCCAACAAAUUGUGGGAAUUAUAGUUCAAUCACAAUUAUAUCUCAAUUCAGCCAACAAGAUCAGAAAUUCACAAUUAUACUCUAGCUCCACAUCAAACCACCCAUGGAAAGAAAAGAAAGAGCAAAAAUUACAAACUGCCAAAUAAAAGAAAUUGAGGGGAGAGAGAAAACGAAAAUCUAGAGAAGAGAAGAGGAAGAGGCGAGAAACUUACCUAGCGCUUUUGGGCGUGUUUGUGAAAGCAGAGAAAAUAACACUGGUUGGCUGUUGGUGUUUUAAGCAAAGGAACCCAAGUUUGGGAGUUUUAAGCCCCAAGUGCCUAUAUUGCAAUGCCAAUGACCAAAUUUUCUACACUUUUUGCACUGUCAGUGGUUUGCACA